GCGGCGUGCUUAACACAUGCAAGUCGAACGGUCCGCCCCGACAGAUACCUUCGGGUUGAAGACGGGAUUCGGAAAGUGGCGGACGGGUGAGUAACGCGUGGAGAACCUGUGCUUAAAUCAAGGAUAACCUGAUGAAAGUCGGGCUAAUCCGUGAUAAGCUAACAGAUAAGCAUUUAUCAGUUAGUAAAGGUGGUAAUGCCAUCGUUUAAGGAGGGCUCCGCGUCGGAUUAGCUAGCUGGUGAGGUAACGGCUCACCAGGGCUACGAUCCGUAGCUGGUCUGAGAGGACGAUCAGCCACACUGGGACUGAGACACGGCCCAGACUCCUACGGGAGGCAGCAGUGGGGAAUCUUCCGCAAUGGGCGCAAGCCUGACGGAGCAACGCCGCGUGAGUGAAGAAGGCCUUAGGGUUGUAAAGCUCUGUCCUUAGGGACGAACCAUCCUGUUAGAAACUGAACAGGGUCUGACGGUACCUUUGGAGGAAGCCCUGGCUAACUACGUGCCAGCAGCCGCGGUAAUACGUAGAGGGCAAGCGUUGUCCGGAAUCAUUGGGCGUAAAGGGUACGCAGGCGGAUAUGCAAGUCAACUGUGAAAGGUGCCGGCCUAACCGGCAGAGUGCAGUUGAAACUGUAUAUCUUGAGUGCAGCAGAGGAGAUCGGAAUUCCUGGAGUAGCGGUGAAAUGCGUAGAUAUCAGGAAGAACACCAGUGGCGAAAGCGGAUCUCUGGGCUGUGACUGACGCUGAGGUACGAAAGCUGGGGGAGCGAACGGGAUUAGAUACCCCGGUAGUCCCAGCCGUAAACGAUGGACACUAGGUGUUGGUGGUUCGAUUCCAUCAGUGCCGGAGUUAACGCAUUAAGUGUCCCGCCUGGGGAUUACGGUCGCAAGACUGAAACUCAAAGGAAUUGACGGGGGCCCGCACAAGCGGUGGAGCAUGUGGUUUAAUUCGAUGCAACGCGAAGAACCUUACCGAGACUUGACAUCCCGUGUCAGCAUGUGAGAGCAUGUUUUAGGACUAUGUCCUACACGGAGACAGGUGGUGCAUGGCUGUCGUCAGCUCGUGUCGUGAGAUGUUGGGUUAAGUCCCGCAACGAGCGCAACCCUUAUACCUAGUUGCCAGCAAGUGAUGUUGGGGACUCUAGGUAGACUGCCGGUGAAAGUCGGAGGAAGGUGGGGAUGACGUCAAGUCCUCAUGCCCUUUAUGUCUCGGGCUACACACGUGCUACAAUGGCUGGAACAGAGGGAAGCGAAGCCGCGAGGUAUAGCCAAUCUCGAAAGCCGGUCUCAGUUCGGAUUGCAGGCUGCAACUCGCCUGCAUGAAGUCGGAAUCGCUAGUAAUCGCAGCUCAGCAUACUGCGGUGAUACGUUCCCGGGCCUUGUACACACCGCCCGUCACACCAACCGAGUUGGAUGCACCAGAAGUCACCUGAGGGUGCCAAAGGUGUGCCC
rnacentral:rRNA from 1 species